rfam:Toxocara canis scaffold242, whole genome shotgun sequence.
GGGACAGUAGAUCAGUGGUAAAGCUCCCGCUUCUUAUGCGGGGAGACCUGGGUUCGAAUCCUGGCUGCUUA